CUGUUUUUCCUAAUUAUUAUAAAAACCACUAGACAAAUUAAAAAUUGACCCCCUAAAUGUAACAACUAGAUGCAGAAUAUUACAAAAAAGUUCUUUUGUAACUUUUAACUGGAACGAGAUUUCUGUUGGGUUUUUACAAACAUAAAAACCAAUACAUGCCCCUUUACCUCUCAGAAUAUAAAAAAAAAUAAGCAAUUAUCAUAAUAAAAACAAUACAUUCUUCGCUCCAAUCAGAAUCUCAAAAAUACGCAUGUAUGACAUAAAUCGCUAAAACAGUAUGUGAAACCAAUUAUGGAAAUUUUGGAAACGACAAUUACCAAUUAUGGAAACGCGAAAGGUAUGUAAAACUACGAAAAUAUUUAAAUACUCGUAAUAAUGAACAAACUAAAUUUCUAAAAUAAUCUUCAAAUAUAUGUAUUUUCUUAGUUAAGAGUGUCAUUGGUGCAAUGUAUAAUCAUCGUUGAAUGUAAUAGGUCCGAAUUAAUCAAAGUUAAAACACUGUACUCAAAGUUUUUUUUUUUUUUUAAUAAUAGAUUCGAGUACAUAGAUAAAUAAUGGGUAUAUGUAAAACUAAUAUAUUUGUUACCAUGGCAUAAGUAGGGCAACAAUUUACACCAGGAAAAUAUAGUAUCCACUGAUUGAAUAUUCGGACAAAACGUUUGCGAGCAUAUUGUUGGGAAAUAAAAAAAUAUUUGUAUUGUACGUUAAUAGGGAAGUAUAUUAUAAUAAACGUAGAUGAACACCAACAACAAACAUUUCUUCAAAACGAUGCAUGUGUUUUCAAUUAAUUAACCCUUUGAAAAUACUGUUUAAAAAAAAAUCAAGGCAACUUUUUUUAUUACUAUUGCAAAGGAUGAAUUUUUCAUUUAUAUACACAAUCAAAUAUGUAGACAAUUUAUAUUGGCGAAUAAUAGAAUCCAACUUAUUUAUUAUUGGUUCAUCCUGUUUAAUUUAAUUUUCGCCUCUAUUAAAGGUAUAGAUAAUAUAAUACAUUUAUUUGCGUUGUCCAUUUCUUUUAAUUCCGAUCAGCUAGUUUAUUAGGCGGACGGAAGUAAUGUUAAUUUGGCUAUUGUUUAGUCAAAUAAAUUUAGGAAAUUGUAAUCAACUGUAAAUAUGUUUUUAAUGGUUAGAUUUU